GACGAACGCUGACGGUGUGCUUUAGACAUGCAAGUCGAACGAGAAAGCCCUUCGGGUUAGUAAAGUAGGCGAACGGGUGAGUAACACGUGGGCAAUCUGCCCCUCCGCAGGGGGACAACCGGAGGAAACUCCGGCUAAUACCCCGUAAGUUCAAAGGGAGGCAUCUCUCUUCGAAGAAAGGUAGCUUCGGCCAUCCGGCGAGGGAUGAGCCCGCGGUGCAUUAGCCAGUUGGUGGGGUAACGGCCUACCAAGGCGACGAUGCAUAGCUGGUCUGAGAGGAUGAUCAGCCACACUGGGACUGAGACACGGCCCAGACUCCUACGGAAGGCAGCAGUCGGGAAUCUUGCGCAAUGGGCGAAAGCCUGACGCAGCAACACCGUGUGUGUGAGGAAGGCCCUC
rnacentral:rRNA from 1 species